CAGUUGGGCUCGGACAGCACAUACCCCCAGCUGCAAAACCCUUACAUCACAGCAGUCUCAGGACAGCGGCGCCAGGCCAGCAGCGUCAAGCCGGAAGUGGAGUUCGGCAAGAUGCUACUACAAAUCAAGCCCAGUUCCCAAAAAGCCUGUUGUACAGCAGAUGACCCCUUCUGCUGCAAAGAAGAAAAGGGAGCAGUGGAGGGUAAACCAGAGGAACUGGAGGGAAAGAUUAAAGCAGAUCAAUGAAUUAAUGAACGACACUCCUGUCUCAAUGAAUGAGUCUAAUCUUGAAGAACCCCAACCCAGAGAGCCAGAUGACCCUCAAGAGAAUCUCCAGCCACUUGCUUCUUCUUCCCCAGAAAGAAAUGGCAAUGUGCGAACAAAAAAUGCAAACAAAAAUAAACUAAAGAAUGAAAUAGUCAAACUUAAAAGGCAACUUGCUCUGUCAAACAAAAAAAAUGAGAAACUAAGAAAACGUCUGCAAAGGGUUAACAAAACAAAAGUAGUGCACGUCAAUGAGAAACGGAAGUCACGGGGAGCCAAGAAGUUUGCUGCAGUAAAGAAGGCACAGGUUACUCACUUCCUGUGUAGGGAUGAAAAUAGUAGACUUCUACCAGGAAAAAAAGACACAGUGACAAAAAAAAGAGAAAGUUCAAAGAAGAGUCCUACAAAAACCAAUGAAAG
ensembl:lncRNA